AGUGACUUUGUGCGUGCGUUCGU
rnacentral:piRNA from 1 species